CCUAAUUCACUAGACAAAACGAUCGGCCGCAACACACUCAAGAGAAAGAGAGACAACAGAUGCUCCUUCUCCUUCUCCAAGACCCAACGGGCAGAACUCCUUCCAAAACUCCAUCUCCGCCGUACACUGCCAAAGGAAGAAGAGAACGAGCCUCACCCACAUCCCUUAGAGAAAAGAACGGCAUCCCACCACCACAAAAAAAGACGCUGCCUUCUUCCAAAUAACCCCAAAACCCAUCAUACUUUUAACCCAACUUUGUUUUCCAAUAAUAAACUUAGCUCCAGUUUUUACAUCUUUCUUCUUUGAUAAUCAAAUUAGUCCAGAAAGAGGAAAGUGGUUGAUUGUUAAAUAUUCAAUCAAAUAUAAGCAAAGGUAUACAUAAAUAAAUAAAGGGAAGGGAAGGACGAACGAGAGGGCAACGACUAAAGAAACAUAAUCUCCAAAACUAGAGCAGCCACCCAUUCUUCAAAAAACGCAGCAAAAACUUUAUGCUCUGUUUGUUGAUCACUAGUUUAGUUUGAGUAUUCCGGCAAGCUUCGAGUCGUUGAAGGUCGUGGUCCGAGGUGUUUGUUCAGUCGCAAUUUUCCGUUGAGUGAAGCCCAUUCCGAUUCAUGUCCCGCUUUUAUUUGGUACUUCGAACUGUUUCUUUGCUUUCAAUAGGUGUGGAUCUGCUUACCAGAGCUUGAGCAUGACAAACACCCUAGGAACAUCCAGUCAGGAUCACUGCAUUCAGGAGCUAGCUUAAGGAGACUUUUUAUAUUAUGAGUUUGUUUUUUGUGUUGUUUUGUUCUUUAAAGUCAUGUCCAAUAGUACCGAUUCUUUUAGUUGGUGUCAUAAUUUGUUGCAGUAUAGUUGAAUUUGUCGAGUCUCUCAUUAUCGUACUUCCUAUGAUGUAUUUGAAAACCAAAAAAUUUAUAAAUGAAAACCCAAAAGAUUUUGUUUUUAGUUUAUUA